CGGCUCAGUAACACGUAGUCAAUCUACCCUAUGGACGGGAAUAACCUCGGGAAACUGAGAAUAAUGCCCGAUAGAACAUUAUGCCUGGAAUGGUUUAUGUUUCAAACGAUUUAUCGCCAUAGGAUGGGACUGCGGCCUAUCAGUUUGUUGGUGAGGUAAUGGCCCACCAAGACUAUUACAGGUACGGGCUCUGAGAGGAGUAGCCCGGAGAUGGGUACUGAGACACGGACCCAGGCCCUAUGGGGCGCAGCAGGCGAGAAAACUUUGCAAUGUGCGAAAGCACGACAAGGUUAAUCCGAGUGGUUUCUGCUAAAGAAACCUUUUGUCAGUCCUAGAAACACUAACGAAUAAGGGGUGGGCAAGUUCUGGUGUCAGCCGCCGCGGUAAAACCAGCACCUCAAGUGGUCAGGAUGAUUAUUGGGCCUAAAGCAUCCGUAGCUCGUUUUGUAAGUUUUCGGUUAAAUCCAUGCGCUUAACGUAUGGGCUGCCGGGAAUACUGCAUAACUAGGAAGUGGGAGAGGUAGACGGUACUCGGGAGGAAGGGGUAAAAUCCUUUGAUCUCUUGAUGACCUCCUGUGGCGAAGGCGGUCUACCAGAACACGUUCGACGGUGAGGGAUGAAAGCUGGGGGAGCAAACCGGAUUAGAUACCCGGGUAGUCCCAGCUGUAAACUAUGC
rnacentral:rRNA from 1 species